CCCAGAUUAGAUUGUACCCUGGCGAAUAAGCAAGAGUUCUUUUUCAUUUUCAUCUUGCAAUUCAACUGGGUAUUUGGGUUCUUUUUCUAUUCACUCAUGUCAGAUAGAGACAUGCAUGUUGUAAAUUAUUUUGUCAGAAUGAAAGCCUGGCAGAUUAAAUGCUUUCUUCUCUUCUUGCUUUACUUGAUAUCAAUCUCUUGUUCAUUUCUUGAUAAUAUGUUUGGUUAUUUUUGUUUUCAUUGCUUUUAGUGUCAGAGAUGGCUUUGGAUUCCCCAUUCUGUGUGCUGCUGUCUGGCUCCUGAACCCACCUGUAGAGGUGUGUCAAUCCCAGCUGGUGAAGUACUGAGAAGAAGCUACACAAAAGGCAUCAAAGUAUUAGUGAGUGGUGUCAUUGAGCAAACACAAAGUCGGGCUCAUCCAAGGAUGAGAUUUUGCCAGAGAAAGGACGAGCAGCAAGUCAGGGAGCUUAAGGUAAUUAUGGGAAUGUGACUAUCUGCAAUUGCUUAGGUAGAAGGAGACAGAUUGGAUUUUUGUGUGUUUGGUAUUUGGGAUAAGAGGGA
ensembl:lncRNA novel transcript